GACUGUGUAACUCCUAGUUGAGUGUGAAGACCUGAGGUAUCAGGGGUAGGGGUUGCUCUGCUUGUGUAAGUCCCAUAGUGUGAAGGCCAGAGAACCAAGAGAUGGUCAAGAAGAGAGAGUAAGUGUCCAAUGUCCCAGCUCAAGAAGAGAGAUCCAUCCAUCAAAGGAGAGAAAUCAAAGGCCAAGAGGUAAAGAGAGAAGGUCAUGGAAUCCUCCCAAACUUACAGUCUGACUUCUAGGGACCUCAAAAACAGGAGACGCUCAGGACCAACCGGGGCAUUGGCCUGAGCCCAGCUGCCUCCAGGCAAUUCUCCUCCUGCCCUGAUGGCUUUCAAAAGAGAAAUGCCUGGCAAGACCAACCCCGCCUCUUCCUUCUCCUUCUCGACCUACUCAAAGUAAAGAUGAGGAUGAAGACCCUUAAGAUGAUCCACUCCCACUUAAUGAAUAGAGCAUCACGACCUGUGCAGACUCCCCAGCAUCAUAACAGGAAGGUCCCACGAUCACGAGCACAUUGCCUUCAGCAUCCAGCACUGAAUAUGGUGAAUUGCACUCUGAAGAGCUUCCUAAGCUUGUAAGAAAGUGAUUCUGAAAAGCUCAACAUUUUGGUAGAAUGGAGAGAUUUGACAUUGCUUCUGCUCCAAAAGCAAAAGACUUGGGAAGGGCACCCUGGGAGUUGAGAACAUCCACCACAGAGAGGCCUGGCGUAAAGGAGAUGGGACUCACACCCAAGAGGAUGCAUUUCCAUACACCCAUUUCUGAAAUAUGAAGAGGUGUCCAGUCUGUUUGAUUCAUAGCUGCCUGUUCCACAACUGCAGAUACAGUAAUUGAUAACCGAGACCAAGUUCUCAUCCCCAUCUCCCAGGGCUGGAACUGGGGCUGUGUUUGGUUCUCAUAAGAUCAGUUCCAGUUUUAGAAACUGAGUAAAUUGUGGAGUAAAUAUUGCCAAGUGAUGGCUUUCUGCUGUAGGCGUGGGUCGCUGUUGGCCAUUUGCCUCAGCAUAUCACCAGCAAUGCACCUCAUUGCAUCACUGCAUUUCCAAUUACACCUCAAAGCACCACUGGUCCCCUGUCCACCCUCUGCCCUGCAGAGGUGGGUGUUCAGGGAGACAGAUCCAAAAUCUGGGCUCAGAAGAUGGAAAUGCCAACUGCUCUCAAUUUGAGAGUGGGGAUGAGACUUUUUGACUCAACUCUGGUUAAUUCAGCCAUGCUGUCAGAGCUGCUUUGAUGCAAGGACAUCUGAAUGCUAUCUGAAUGCUGCCCCUAAAAUAACAAAUUAAAAACAACAACAACAACAAAAA
ensembl:lncRNA LINC01584 long intergenic non-protein coding RNA 1584